rnacentral:rRNA from 1 species
GGAAACGACUGCUAAUACCGCAUAAUCCCUGAGGGGGAAAGGAGGGGAUCUGUUUACAGACCUUUCGCUAUUUGAUGAGCCUGCGUGAGAUUAGCUAGUUGGUGAGGUAAUGGCUCACCAAGGCGACGAUCUCUAGCUGGUCUGAGAGGAUGAUCAGCCACACUGGAACUGAGACACGGUCCAGACUCCUACGGGAGGCAGCAGUGGGGAAUAUUGCACAAUGGGGGAAACCCUGAUGCAGCCAUGCCGCGUGUGUGAAGAAGGCCUUCGGGUUGUAAAGCACUUUCAGC